UAGUCUUAGAAACAAUGAGUAAUAAGAUCCUAAACAUACAAUAAAAACCACUCUCCUUACAAACAAGCACAAAUUGACCUGGGAUAACUUCGAACAUAAAAUCUUCUACAAAUAACAACAAUAGUACUGAAUAAUUAUCGAAUCUAUCAAUAAACAUGAACAUAACCUACAAACAAACUUACAUAAACACAAAGAACAAACCCACAUGUCAAAAAAAUCCAUUGCUUCAAUCACAGAGAACAAAAUUGAUUCUCAUGUUACUAA
rnacentral:lncRNA from 1 species